rnacentral:rRNA from 1 species
GAGGCGAACCGGGGGAACUGAAACAUCUAAGUACCCCGAGGAAAAGAAAUCAACCGAGAUUCCCCCAGUAGCGGCGAGCGAACGGGGAGCAGCCCGGAGUCUGAAUCAGCUUGUGUGUUAGUGGAACGGUCUGGAAAGUCCGACGGUACAGGGUGAUAGUCCCGUACACGAAAACACACUUGCUGUGAACUCGAAGAGUAGGGCGGGACACGUGGUAUCCUGUCUGAAUAUGGGGGGACCAUCCUCCAAGGCUAAAUACUCCUGACUGACCGAUAGUGAACCAGUACCGUGAGGGAAAGGCGAAAAGAACCCCGGCGAGGGGAGUGAAAAAGAACCUGAAACCGUGUACGUACAAGCAGUGGGAGCCUCUUUAUGGGGUGACUGCGUACCUUUUGUAUAAUGGGUCAGCGACUUAUAUUCUGUAGCAAGGUUAACCGUAUAGGGGAGCCGAAGGGAAACCGAGUCUUAACUGGGCGUUAAGUUGCAGGGUAUAGACCCGAAACCCGGUGAUCUAGCCAUGGGCAGGUUGAAGGUUGGGUAACACUAACUGGAGGACCGAACCGACUAAUGUUGAAAAAUUAGCGGAUGACCUGUGGCUGGGGGUGAAAGGCCAAUCAAACCGGGAGAUAGCUGGUUCUCCCCGAAAGCUAUUUAGGUAGCGCCUCGUGAACUCAUCUUCGGGGGUAGAGCACUGUUUCGGCUAGGGGGCCAUCCCGGCUUACCAACCCGAUGCAAACUACGAAUACCGAAGAAUGUUAU